rnacentral:tRNA from 1 species
UGGCUCAGUUGGUAGAGCAUGGUGUUUGCAAUGCCAGGGUUAUGGGUUCGAUUCCCAC